rnacentral:rRNA from 1 species
GACGAACGCUGGCGGCGUGCUUAACACAUGCAAGUCGAACGAUGCCUCUGAAGCUUGCUCCGGUGGAGUCGUGGCGAACGGGUGAGUAACACGUGAGAAAUCUGCCCUUGACUCUGGGUUGACUGCGGGAAACUGUAGCUAAUACCGGAUAUUUUCCUUGGUGGGCAUCCACUGGGGAAGAAAGAAUUUCGGUCAAGGAUGAUCUCGCGGCCUAUCAGCUGGUUGGUGAGGUAAUGGCUCACCAAGGCGACGACGGGUAGCCGGCCAGAGAGGGUGAGCGGGAAUACUGGGAUUGAGGCACGGUCUAGAUGCCUAGGGGAGGGAGGAGUUGGGAAUUAUGGACAAUGGGCGGAGGCCUUAUCCAGCCAUGCGGCGUGUCUGAGAUAGGUCUUCGGGUUGUAAAGGACUGUUGUCAGGGAGGGAAUCCCUAGUGCUAAUAACACUGGGGGAUGACAGUACCUGAAGAAUAAGCACCGGCUAACUGCGUGCC